rnacentral:pre_miRNA from 1 species
UGAAAUUGCGAUUGAGGUUGUGUCAGAAUAAAAGACCACACAUUCGAUCGGCAACUCAUG